AGCAACAUAGCUCAGGUGGUAGAGCGCGGGGCUCAUAACCCCGAGGUCACUCGAUCGAGACGAGUUGUUGCUA
rfam:Coprinopsis cinerea okayama7#130 chromosome 3 cont3.3, whole genome shotgun sequence.